GGCACUUGGGUUUCUGAAUCCAUAACCAGCACCCUUAAGUCUGAUAGUGGAUUUCUGCAGAAAGCAGCAUGCAGCACGGAAACUCGAUAGUGACCAGCUUCCGAGCGGUAGAAUGAGAAAUCCCAACAGGUACCGGUAGUGUCCUCACCUAGGAUGGCAGAAUACGGUCCCUUAAAAUACAAAUCAAAUACCCCUGGGUUAUUAAGAACUUUCGGGUCCCCAUGCAGUCUCCAGGUCCUGAAC
rnacentral:lncRNA from 1 species